CGCGCGCGUCGCCGGGCGGAACGGCGCCGGCCUGGCGCGGCGGCUGGCGGAGGCGUUGCAGGGCGAGGCCCGGUUCGACGCCUUCACGCGCGG
rnacentral:tRNA from 1 species